GGAGGACGCAGCUCGGACCAGCUGAACCUCUAGUUGGUUUUAUACCGAGUCGACGUCAUCCUGGAUUUAGUUCCUGACACCUAAGGUCUGGAAACGACCGUACAAUCCCUACCUUAGGGGAUCCUAGUAACACAGCGAAGACCAAGUUCAGCCACUAUUUAAAAUUCACCACCUGAGUAGCACCCUGAGUGUCGCCCGCUCACUUGGGCUGCCCUUCCCGCUGGCAGACCCAGGCUGGGCUCCCCGGCCGGGCAAAGGCAGCCGGGCUCCCCGCAGGCAGCCGCCGAGAUUUGCAGGAUCCUUCUUGCUGUGCAACCGGUGGGCAGCGAACCCAGCACUGCGCCAAGGCC